rnacentral:lncRNA from 1 species
ACCCCGUUUCUUGUCUCGCAUCCUCUUUCACGUGGUUCUUCUUGUCUAGGUCUUCUGGGUUGUGUCUUUUUCGAUCUCCAUUCGCGGCUCUUGCGAGGUUGAUCUUCAUCUUCAUCUUCGUCCUCGUCCUGGUCCUGGUCUUGUUCACGCUUUCCUUGGCUUGGUCGACUAGGACGAGGUUUAUCUUCAUCUUCGUCCUCGUCCUCGUCUUGUUCACGCUUUCCAUGGCUUGGUCGGCGAGGAGGGUGAGAGGGAAUUUGUUCAUCUUCAUCAUCUUCGUCUUCAUCUUCAUCUUCAUCUUGUUGUUCUUGCCACUUGGGGCUGAUAACGCUGAGACCUCCUUCCACUGUCACGAUCUGCUUCCUUUCGUCGUCUGGAGACUGAAGUUUCUCAGCUAUGUCCUCGUUGGUGUUGAAGGAUUGUGCCAAGAA